GGGUUGUGAGGUUAAGCGACUAAGCGUACACGGUGGAUGCCCUGGCAGUCAGAGGCGAUGAAGGACGUGCUAAUCUGCGAAAAGCGCCGGCGAGGUGAUAUGAACCUUUGACCCGGCGAUGUCCGAAUGGGGAAACCCAGUGCAAUCCGUUGCACUAUCGUUAACUGAAUACAUAGGUUAACGAGGCGAACCGGGGGAACUGAAACAUCUAAGUACCCCGAGGAAAAGAAAUCAACCGAGAUUCCCCCAGUAGCGGCGAGCGAACGGGGAGCAGCCCGGAGUCUGAAUCAGCUUGUGUGUUAGUGGAACGGUCUGGAAAGUCCGACGGUACAGGGUGAUAGUCCCGUACACGAAAGCACACUUGCUGUGAACUCGAAGAGUAGGGCGGGACACGUGGUAUCCUGUCUGAAUAUGGGGGGACCAUCCUCCAAGGCUAAAUACUCCUGACUGACCGAUAGUGAACCAGUACCGUGAGGGAAAGGCGAAAAGAACCCCGGCGAGGGGAGUGAAAAAGAACCUGAAACCGUGUACGUACAAGCAGUGGGAGCCUCUUUAUGGGGUGACUGCGUACCUUUUGUAUAAUGGGUCAGCGACUUAUAUUCUGUAGCAAGGUUAACCGUAUAGGGGAGCCGAAGGGAAACCGAGUCUUAACUGGGCGUUAAGUUGCAGGGUAUAGACCCGAAACCCGGUGAUCUAGCCAUGGGCAGGUUGAAGGUUGGGUAACACUAACUGGAGGACCGAACCGACUAAUGUUGAAAAAUUAGCGGAUGACCUGUGGCUGGGGGUGAAAGGCCAAUCAAACCGGGAGAUAGCUGGUUCUCCCCGAAAGCUAUUUAGGUAGCGCCUCGUGAACUCAUCUUCGGGGGUAGAGCACUGUUUCGGCUAGGGGGCCAUCCCGGCUUACCAACCCGAUGCAAACUACGAAUACCGAAGAAUGUUAUCACGGGAGACACACGGCGGGUGCUAACGUCCGUCGUGAAGAGGGAAACAACCCAGACCGCCAGCUAAGGUCCCAAAGUCAUGGUUAAGUGGGAAACGAUGUGGGAAGGCACAGACAGCCAGGAUGUUGGCUUAGAAGCAGCCAUCAUUUAAAGAAAGCGUAAUAGCUCACUGGUCGAGUCGGCCUGCGCGGAAGAUGUAACGGGGCUAAACCAUGCACCGAAGCUGCGGCAGCGACACUAUGUGUUGUUGGGUAGGGGAGCGUUCUGUAAGCCGUUGAAGGUGUGCUGUGAGGCAUGCUGGAGGUAUCAGAAGUGCGAAUGCUGACAUAAGUAACGAUAAAGCGGGUGAAAAGCCCGCUCGCCGGAAGACCAAGGGUUCCUGUCCAACGUUAAUCGGGGCAGGGUGAGUCGACCCCUAAGGCGAGGCCGAAAGGCGUAGUCGAUGGGAAACAGGUUAAUAUUCCUGUACUUGGUGUUACUGCGAAGGGGGGACGGAGAAGGCUAUGUCAGCCGGGCGACGGUUGUCCCGGUUUAAGCAUGUAGGCGGAGGUUCCAGGUAAAUCCGGUACCUUAUUAACGCUGAGGUGUGAUGACGAGGCACUACGGUGCUGAAGUGAUAAAUGCCCUGCUUCCAGGAAAAGCCUCUAAGCAUCAGGUAACACGAAAUCGUACCCCAAACCGACACAGGUGGUCAGGUAGAGAAUACCAAGGCGCUUGAGAGAACUCGGGUGAAGGAACUAGGCAAAAUGGUGCCGUAACUUCGGGAGAAGGCACGCUGAUGUGUAGGUGAAGCCCCUGCGGGCGGAGCUGAAAUCAGUCGAAGAUACCAGCUGGCUGCAACUGUUUAUUAAAAACACAGCACUGUGCAAACACGAAAGUGGACGUAUACGGUGUGACGCCUGCCCGGUGCCGGAAGGUUAAUUGAUGGGGUUAGCGGCAACGCGAAGCUCUUGAUCGAAGCCCCGGUAAACGGCGGCCGUAACUAUAACGGUCCUAAGGUAGCGAAAUUCCUUGUCGGGUAAGUUCCGACCUGCACGAAUGGCGUAAUGAUGGCCAGGCUGUCUCCACCCGAGACUCAGUGAAAUUGAACUCGCUGUGAAGAUGCAGUGUACCCGCGGCAAGACGGAAAGACCCCGUGAACCUUUACUAUAGCUUGACACUGAACACUGGUCCUUGAUGUGUAGGAUAGGUGGGAGGCUUUGAAGCGUGGACGCCAGUCUG
rnacentral:rRNA from 2 species